ACACACACAAGCAAACCUAAGAUCUACACGGAUCGAAGGUUCUGAGGUCUCCAGUGGGUUCCUAGGAUCCUUACGAGUCGAGUGGUACCCAUUUUCAGCAAGGAAACCUUCGAGAAACCCUAGUUUGAAAGGGAGCCGUGGGUGUACAGUACACCAAACCAGUUCGUGGAGGUUUCGAACCAUUUCAAGGCUUGUAAAGGACCACAAUGAGCUCAAAGAGGUCAUCACGAUGCUCGGAGUACAUCGUUGGUAGGAUUUGGGUCGCGGGAAGCUCGAAAACGGAGUUUUGCAGAGGUCGCCGGAGUUUGAGGAUUUCUCCGACGUGAUUUCACGUGAUUCGAGGUGUGAAAGAGUUUCCGGCGCUGGCAACGGUCGCCAGAGUUUGGCGGUUGAAGACAAUGCUCGUGGGCGGCGCGUGAGGCCGUGCCCUCCCCGGCGCGUGAGUCAUAGGAAAAAUUUUCUAAAAAUAUCACGAUGCUCGUGAGGUUAUGUAGAUCACUGUGGCAAAUUCAUAUACCCAU